rnacentral:rRNA from 1 species
UACGUAGGGAGCAAGCGUUUGUCCGGAAUCAUUGGGCGUAAAGCGCGCGUAGGCGGCCUCAUAAGUCCGUUGUGAAAGUCAAAGGCUCAACCUUUGAAAGCCGAUGGAUACUGUGAGGCUAGAGUCCGGAAGAGGCGAGUGGAAUUCCUGGUGUAGCGGUGGAAUGCGCAGAUAUCAGGAGGAACACCAAUAGCGAAGGCAGCUCGCUGGGACGGUACUGACGCUAAGGCGCGAAAGCGUGGGGAGCGAACAGG